rnacentral:rRNA from 1 species
GACGAACGCUGGCGGCGUGCUUAACACAUGCAAGUCGAACGGAAAGGCCCUGCUUUUGUGGGGUGCUCGAGUGGCGAACGGGUGAGUAACACGUGAGUAACCUGCCCUUGACUUUGGGAUAACUUCAGGAAACUGGGGCUAAUACCGGAUAGGAGCUCCUGCUGCAUGGUGGGGGUUGGAAAGUUUCGGCGGUUGGGGAUGGACUCGCGGCUUAUCAGCUUGUUGGUGGGGUAGUGGCUUACCACGGCUUUGACGGGUAGCCGGCCUGAGAGGGUGACCGGCCACAUUGGGACUGAGAUACGGCCCAGACUCCUACGGGAGGCAGCAGUGGGGAAUAUUGCACAAUGGGCGGAAGCCUGAUGCAGCAACGCCGCGUGCGGGAUGACGGCCUUCGGGUUGUAAACCGCUUUCGCCUGUGACGAAGCGUGAGUGACGGUAAUGGGUAAAGAAGCACCAGCUAACUACGUG